GGAUCCAGACUUUGAUUAUGGCUCACGAUGAACGCUAGCUACAGGCUUAACACAUGCAAGUCGAGGGGAAACGAUAGAGAAAGCUUGCUUUUUCUAGGCGUCGACCGGCGCACGGGUGAGUAACGCGUAUCCAACCUGCCCACCACUUGGGGAUAACCUUGCGAAAGUAAGACUAAUACCCAAUGAUAUCUCAAGAAGACAUCUGAAAGAGAUUAAAGAUUUAUCGGUGAUGGAUGGGGAUGCGUCUGAUUAGCUUGUUGGCGGGGUAACGGCCCACCAAGGCGACGAUCAGUAGGGGUUCUGAGAGGAAGGUCCCCCACAUUGGAACUGAGACACGGUCCAAACUCCUACGGGAGGCAGCAGUGAGGAAUAUUGGUCAAUGGGCGAGAGCCUGAACCAGCCAAGUAGCGUGCAGGAUGACGGCCCUAUGGGUUGUAAACUGCUUUUAUAAGGGAAUAAAGUGAGCCUCGUGAGGCUUUUUGCAUGUACCCUAUGAAUAAGGACCGGCUAAUUCCGUGCCAGCAGCCGCGGUAAUACGGAAGGUCCGGGCGUUAUCCGGAUUUAUUGGGUUUAAAGGGAGCGUAGGCCGGAGAUUAAGCGUGUUGUGAAAUGUAGAUGCUCAACAUCUGCACUGCAGCGCGAACUGGUUUCCUUGAGUACGCACAAAGGGGGCGGAAUUCGUGGUGUAGCGGUGAAAUGCUUAGAUAUCACGAAGAACUCCGAUUGCGAAGGCAGCUCACUGGAGCGCAACUGACGCUGAAGUUCGAAAGUGCGGGUAUCGAACAGGAUUAGAUACCCUGGUAGUCCGCACGGUAAACGAUGGACGCCCGCUGUUGGUCUGAAUAGGUCAGCGGCCAAGCGAAAGCAUUAGGCAUCCCACCUGGGGAGUACGCCGGCAACGGUG
rnacentral:rRNA from 1 species